AAGGAGCACACAAACAUUACGGGAAUUUUGUAUAGUAUGCAGAAUAAAACAGAAAACAGAACAUUGUCGUCAGACCGUAACAUAAAAUUAGAAAUUAAUCACAAAGCCAGUCAAAACUUCCAAUCAUGUAUGGGUUGAAGAAG
ensembl:misc_RNA